UUUAAAUAUAUAUAACAGCAACUAAGUGGGAAAGGCUAUAUAAGAAUCAGUAGAUUUAAAAAUUAUACAGAGGGUUUCCCAAUAUUGUUGACAGUGUUUUCAUUCAUACAUUCUCAGGCCAUAAGGGACCAUUGGGAUCAUCUACUCUGACCUCCUGGAUAACACAAACCAGAGAACUUUCCUGAAUGAAUUCCUUUUGAACCCGAAAAACAUCCCCUCUGGAUUUUAAAAUGUCCAGCCAUGGACCAUCUCCCCCAGCCUCCGGACUCGCUAACACUCCCAGUGAAGGGAGCACCUCAGAGAAGGCCCGGCUUUUAGAAGAGUGAUCGCUGAUAAAACAGAUGAGCAAAGGUUGAUCUACGGCAGCUCACAGCACUAUUUUCUGGUGAAGAUCUCAGAUCAAUACCUGCCAACACUAAUCUCUAAAGCAGCAUGCGGUCACCUGGGACACAGCACAUUAUUUUUUAAAU